rnacentral:pre_miRNA from 1 species
CUUUUUCAAAUUUGUAUGGAGUUGGAACAGCUUCCCUUCGUUUGCCGCUAGGGGCGCUGUUCCAACUCCAUACAAAAUUGAGUUA